UACGUAGGGGGCAAGCGUUGUCCGGAAUCAUUGGGCGUAAAGCGCGCGUAGGCGGCCCGAUCAGUCCGCUGUAAAAAGUCCAGGGCUCAACCCUGGAAAGCCGGUGGAUACUGUCGGGCUAGAGUCCGGAAGAGGCGAGUGGAAUUCCUGGUGUAGCGGUGGAAUGCGCAGAUAUCAGGAGGAACACCGAUAGCGAAGGCAGCUCGCUGGGACGGUACUGA
rnacentral:rRNA from 1 species